rnacentral:rRNA from 1 species
CAGCAGCCGCGGUAAUACCGGCGGCCCGAGUGGCGGUCACUAUUAUUGGGCUUAAAGCGUCCGUAGCCGGGUUGGGAAGUCCUCCGGGAAAUCUGGCCGCUUAACGGUCAGAAUGCCGGAGGAUACUCCCAGCCUAGGGAGCGGGAGAGGCCGAGGGUAUUCCCGGAGUAGGGGUGAAAUCCUAUAAUCCCGGGAGGACCACCUGUGGCGAAGGCGCUCGGCUGGAACGCGUCCGACGGUGAGGGACGAAGGCCAGGGGAGCAAACCGGAUUAGAUACCCGGGUAGUCCUGGCUGUAAAGGAUGCGGGCUAGGUGUCGGGUGAGCUGCGGGCUCGCCCGGUGCCGUAGGGAAGCCGUUAAGACCGCCGCCUGGGGAGUACGGCCGCAAGGCUGAAACUUAAAGGAAUUGGCGGG